UACGGAGGAUGCGAGCGUUAUCCGGAUUUAUUGGGUUUAAAGGGUGCGUAGGCGGACGCUUAAGUCAGCGGUAAAAUUGCGGGGCUCAACCUCGUCGAGCCGUUGAAACUGGGUGUCUUGAGUGGGCGAGAAGUACGCGGAAUGCGUGGUGUAGCGGUGAAAUGCAUAGAUAUCACGCAGAACUCCGAUUGCGAAGGCAGCGUACCGGCGCCCAAUUGACGCUGAAGCACGAAGGCGUGGGUAUCGAACAGG
rnacentral:rRNA from 1 species